ensembl:snRNA U7 U7 small nuclear RNA
AAAUGUUACAACUCUGUUAGAGUUUGUCUAGCAGGUUUUCUGGUCUUUGUGGAAAAACCCCC